CAAUAGCGUAUAUUAAAGUUGUUGCAGUUAAAAAGCUCGUAGUUGGAUUUCUGGUGGGAGCGAUCGGUCUGGCGCUUAGCGCGAGUACUUGCAUCGUCUCCGGCCAUCCUUGGGGAGAGUCUGUCUGGCAUUAGGUUGUCGGGCAGAGGAUCCUCAUCGUUUACUGUGAAAAAAUUAGAGUGUUCAAAGCAGGCUUAUGCCGUCGAAUAUGUUAGCAUGGAAUAAUAAGAUAGGACUUUGGUACUAUUUUGUUGGUUUGCGCACCAAAGUAAUGAUUAAUAGGGACAGUUGGGGGUAUUCGUAUUCCGUUGUCAGAGGUGAAAUUCUUGGAUUUACGGAAGACGAACUACUGCGAAAGCAUUUACCAAGGAUGUUUUCAUUAA
rnacentral:rRNA from 1 species